rnacentral:rRNA from 1 species
AGAGUUUGAUCCUGGCUCAGGAUGAACGCUAGCUACAGGCUUAACACAUGCAAGUCGAGGGGAAACGACAUCGAAAGCUUGCUUUUGAUGGGCGUCGACCGGCGCACGGGUGAGUAACGCGUAUCCAACCUGCCCAUCACUUGGGGAUAACCUUGCGAAAGUAAGACUAAUACCCAAUGACGUCUCUAGAAGACAUCUGAAAGAGAUUAAAGAUUUAUCGGUGAUGGAUGGGGAUGCGUCUGAUUAGCUUGUUGGCGGGGUAACGGCCACCAAGGCGACGAUCAGUAGGGGUUCUGAGAGGAAGGUCCCCCANAUUGGAACUGAGACACGGUCCAAAACUCCGUACGGGAGGGA